GCACAUGUUUCAGCAUACAUGCAUUAAAAUUGGAAUUGUAUAGAGUUUAGUAUGGCCUCUAAGCAAGUAUGGCACUUAAAUUCAUGAGGCAUUACUUUUGUUU
rnacentral:snRNA from 1 species